GUCCACGCUGUAAACGAUGGAUGCUAGAUGUUGUGGGUAUUGACCCCUGCAGCGUCGCAGCUAACGCAUUAAGCAUCCCGCCUGGGGAGUACGGCCGCAAGGCUAAAACUCAAAGGAAUUGACGGGGGCCCCGCACAAGCGGUGGAGCAUGUGGUUUAAUUCGACGCAACGCGCAGAACCUUACCUGGGUUAAAUCCGCUAGAAUCCCGCAGAAACGUGGGAGUGCUCUUCGGAGAGCUAGCGAGACGGUGCUGCAUGGCUGUCGU
rnacentral:rRNA from 1 species